AACGAACACUGGCGGCAUGUCUAAGACAUGCAAGGCGAACGAGUUCUUCGGGUCUAGUGGCGCACGGGUGCGGAACGCGACGGAAUCUGCGGUGUGGUUGGCAAGAACAGGUGGAAACGACUGCUAAUACCGGAUGAGGACAAAAUUCCAGAGAUUUAUGGCGAGAGGAUGAGUCCUGGUAGGAUUAGCUAGUUGGUGUGGUAAAGGCGCACCAAGGCGACGAUCCUUAGCCGGUCUGAGAGGAUGAUCAGCCACACUGGAACUGAGACACGGCCCAGACUCCUACGGGAGGCAGCAGUGGGGAAUAUUGGACAAUGGGCGAAAGCCUGAUCCAGCAAUGCCGCGUGAGUGAUGAAGGCCUUAGGGUUGUGAAGCUCUUUUACCCGGGAUGAUAAUGACAGUACCGGGAGAAUAAGCUCCGGCUAACUCCGUGCCAGCAGCCGCGGUAA
rnacentral:rRNA from 1 species